rnacentral:rRNA from 1 species
UUCCUACGGGGGGCAGCAGUGGGGAAUAUUGCACAAUGGGGGGAACCCUGAUGCAGCGACGCCGCGUGGGUGAAGAAGUCAUUCGUGACGUAAAGCCCUAUCAGCAGGGAAGAAAAUGACGGUACCUUACCAAGAAGCCCCGGCUAACUACGUGCCAGCAGCCGCGGUAAUACGUAGGGGGCAAGCGUUAUCCGGGUUUACUGGGUGUAAAGGGGGCGCAGACGGCAAUGCAAGCCAGGAGUGUAAGCCCGGGGCCCAACCCCGGGACUGCUCCUGGAACUGCAUGUCUGGAGUACA